rnacentral:tRNA from 2 species
CGGGCUGUAUUAUAAUGGCAGUAUACGUCCAUGGGGUGGAUGCGGUCUGGGUUCGAUUCCCAGCAGCCCGA